CAGGAGGACCACGCAACCCCAUCAUGGGCAGACUCGACAUCAAUCUCACUUAUCCCUUCCCCCACACCAGAGACCUGAGCUAACUGACCCAACUAUAGGCGGUCCCUCUAUCCCUGACCAGCAGGGUCACCGUUUGAGCUUGGUUGGGGAAGAAGAAAGGGAUGGGGCCGAGAGGAAGAGUGUGGUGCCCGUGAUGAAGUCGUAUCCAGGAACUAGACUGAACUUUACAAACGGGUCAUGCAGACCUAAAGCCUGGGUAGGGCAAUGGAUCCAUUGGCAAGUUGCUUGACACAGCAUCACGAGGACCUGAGAUCAGAUCCCUGUACCCACAUAAGAAGCCAUGUGUGGCAGUGUGUGGCAGGGUGUGCCCUGGAACUACAGAAGUCCGAGACAAGAAGAUGCCUGGAGUUCACAGGCCAGCUUUGGGGAAUGGGAGAUCGCCAGAGUCAGUCAGACACUCCAACUCAGAAAACAUAAUUCUACGUAAUUGUCCACUCUGCAUGAAAACCGAAGCUCAGAGCCGGAGGAGACAGCCUGCAAGUGAGAGGACCAGAGCUUAACUCCCCAGCACCCGUGUGUGUGUGUGUGUCAGGUUGUCAUGAGGACUAAACCACAGCUCUGCCUACAGAGCUCAGAGGCAAAGAGCCCCAGAGUAAGCUGGAAAGCGAGACCAGGCAUAUCUGUGAGCUCUGGGUUUGACGGAGAGACCUGUGCCUGAUCAAAGAUAAUUCUCACCACCAGUCCUGGGCCUCUGCACUCCGAUGCAAGCACCUACAUGUGUACCCACGUGUACCGUGCUUACACACAUACAUGUUCCCUCCACACACGAGUGGAUAUAAACACGCACACACGUGGAUAUAAAUACACACAGAAAGACGACAGACAGACAGACGGAUGGACAGACAGACAUAGCACACCCAGGGACAGAGGCAAAGAAGACCCCACUAAAGCACAGAUCUCCAGCAUCUAUGACUCUUCCUCCUGAGGAUCUCAAGAAGCUCUGACGGACAGACUGAAUUUCCUCUCUGAAUCUGCCCUUAGUUGCAGAAGCUUCUGAGAAAGUGAAAUUCCUCAUUGGUCCUUAUAGCACCAAAACUUCCCCAAAGCAGGCAGGAAGCAGAGAACUCUUGGAUGCGGCUGGUUUUGAAACAGUAGCAUGCUGCUUCAAAGAGAACAGACUCACCAUGGCUACAGAGGAUCCUGUGAAGGGAGCCCCAGGGUGCCUCUCCUUGCCACGCCCCAGCUCAUGGGACCGAUACUUGAAAGGGACAUUUUUGCCCUAAUUGAAAAGAAAGUACUCAAGUUUGUCGGGAAUCCCAGCUUCUGUGUCUGCAUGUUUCCAUCUCGGCUCUCUUCCUCAGACGAUGGAGACUAGGAAGGCGCACCCUGAAUUUCUCUGUCCCUUGUCUCUCUGGGUUUCACCUUCUCCGUCUUCUACUAACAGCCUUAGGAAAGGAGAAAGUCUGUUCUUCUAAAUGGCCUGGGUAAGGCAGGCUCUCCUUCCCUCUCCUUCCCUUUUGUUAAAAUACAUUUGUUUCUCUUCAGAUCUCCCUUUGCAGUGUAAAGUCUUUCAACUUUCUUCGGAUGAAAGUCAGACUGUAGAACAUUGAUUUUUUUUUUCUCCCCUUCCCCUGUAAAUUCAUGACAAAUGGAGAACAAGGGCUUAUCUGGAAGUCUGGACAUCCAAUUAAAAUUUUCUCAAACGCACGUGCACACCCACACACCCACACACACACACAUACACACACACUCACUGCAUACACAGUAUACACACACAACUCCUGUGUUUUCUUAUUGAUUAAACUUGUCCUUUGACAAUUUCA